GGGGCCGAAUUGGCUUCGACCGGCCAGCAUGGUCUGUCGUCGCGCGUCGUGGAGCAUCCAGGCCACGUAAAAAGGAUGCAAAACACGUCUGCAAACACGCAGUACGCACUCGCGGCCUAAUUUGGCCACGCGGUCACCCCGCCUGACGUCCGAUGAGGCGGGGGGCCGACACAAAUCGGACUGGUUCCAAAGGGCUGGCACGCCGUGGAGGAACGAGAAAAUUGCGUGCCAAGGUUUGCUGCACGCCGCCGUCCAACGGAGCGCAGACCGAGAUUGAAUGGACGGCUACACGCGUAGAUGCGGCUUUUCAUAUGGAUCGGCACAGGGGUUCGACUCCCCUCGGCUCCAUUU
rnacentral:tmRNA from 1 species